AGAUAACGCUGGCGGCGUGCCUUAACACAUGCAAGUCGAACGAUCCCGCAAGGGAGAUGGCGGAAGGGUGAGUAACACGUGGGAAUCUACCUCCUCGCAGGGAACAACCUCUCGAGAGAGAGGCUAAUACCCAAAGGGUCAGAAAUGAUCAGAGUCGAAAGGCGUGAGGAGAGGAGCCCGCGGCCCAUCAGCUAGUUGGUGAGUAAUGGCUUACCAAAGGCUACGACGGGUAGGGGGAUCUGAGAGGAUGUCCCCCACACUGGAACUGAAACACGGUCCAGACGCCUACGGGUGGCAGCAGUGAGGAAUAUUGGACAAUGGGCGAAAGCCCGAUCCAGCAACGCCGCGUGGAGGAUGAAGGCCUUCGGGUCGUAAACUUCUUUAGAGGGAGACGAGAAAGGACGGUAUCCCUAGAAUAAGCGACGGCAAACUACGUG
rnacentral:rRNA from 1 species